rnacentral:tRNA from 16 species
UGGAUAGAGCAACGCCCUUCUAAGGCGUGUGUCCGGGGUUCGAAUCCCUGUGCGCUCACCA